rnacentral:rRNA from 1 species
CGCGUAGGCGGACUUUCAAGUCGGAUGUGAAAACUGUCGGCUCAACCGGCAGCCUGCAUUCGAUACUGUUAGUCUUGAGUACAGGAGAGGAGAGUGGAAUUCCAGGUGUAGCGGUGAAAUGCGUAGAUAUCUGGAAGAACACCAGUAGCGAAGGCGGCUCUCUGGACUGAUACUGACGCUAAAGCGCGAAGGCUUGGGGAGCAAACA